rnacentral:rRNA from 1 species
UGGGGAAUAUUGGACAAUGGGCGAAAGCCUGAUCCAGCCAUGCCGCGUGAGUGACGAAGGCCUUAGGGUUGUAAAGCUCUUUCGGCGGGGACGAUAAUGACGGUACCCGGAGAAGAAGCUCCGGCUAACUUCGUGCCAGCAGCCGCGGUAAUACGAAGGGAGCUAGCGUUGUUCGGAAUUACUGGGCGUAAAGCGCACGUAGGCGGGCUAUUAAGUCAGGGGUGAAAUCCCGAGGCUCAACCUCGGAACUGCCUUUGAUACUGAUAGUCUUGAGAUCGGGAGAGGUGAGUGGAAUUCCUAGUGUAGAGGUGAAAUUCGUAGAUAUUAGGAAGAACACCAGUGGCGAAGGCGGCUCACUGGCCCGAUACUGACGCUGAGGUGCGAAAGCGUGGGGAGCAAACAGGAUUAGAUACCCCUGUAGUCCCUGAGCGGGCUGGCAAGGCGCAU